UACGUAGGUGACAAGCGUUGUCCGGAUUUACUGGGCGUAAAGAGCGCGCAGGCGGUCGAUCAAGUCGAGUGUGAAAGCCCCCGGCUCAACUGGGGAGGGUCAUUCGAUACUGAUCGACUCGAAGGCAGGAGAGGGUAGUGGAAUUCCCGGUGUAGUGGUGAAAUGCGUAGAGAUGUGGAGGAACACCGAUGGCGAAGGCAGCCCCCUGGGCUAACACUGACGCUCAUGCACGAAAGCGUGGGGAGCAAACAGG
rnacentral:rRNA from 1 species